GGAGAGAUGUCCGAGUGGCUUAAGGAGCACGAUUGGAAAUCGUGUGUGUGGACUAAAAUUCACACCGUGGGUUCAAAUCCCACUCUCUCCGCCA
rnacentral:tRNA from 1 species